UCCGGUUUGUCACCGGCAGUCUCGCAUGAGUCCCCAACUAAAUGCUGGCAACAUGCGACGGGGGUUGCGCUCGUUGCGGGACUUAACCCAACAUCUCACGACACGAGCUGACGACAGCCAUGCACCACCUGUGAAGGUGCCCCGAAGGGAGACCGUGUUUCCACGGUUGUCACCUACAUGUCAAGCCCAGGUAAGGUUCUUCGCGUUGCAUCGAAUUAAACCACAUCAUCCACCGCUUGUGCGGGUCCCCGUCAAUUCCUUUGAGUUUUAGCCUUGCGGCCGUACUCCCCAGGCGGGGCGCUUAAUGCGUUAGCUACGGCACGGAUCCCGUGGAAGGAAACCCACACCUAGCGCCCACCGUUUACGGCGUGGACUAC
rnacentral:misc_RNA from 1 species